rnacentral:rRNA from 1 species
UACGGGGGGGGGCAAGCGUUGUUCGGAAUUACUGGGCGUAAAGAGCUCGUAGGCGGUCUGUUGCGUCGGCUGUGAAAACCCCGGGGCUCAACCCCGGGCCUGCAGCCGAUACGGGCAGACUAGAGUUCGGCAGGGGAGACUGGAAUUCCUGGUGUAGCGGUGAAAUGCGCAGAUAUCAGGAGGAACACCGGUGGCGAAGGCGGGUCUCUGGGCCGAUACUGACGCUGAGGAGCGAAAGCGUGGGGAGCGAACAGG